rnacentral:rRNA from 1 species
UCGGGAAUUUUGCCCAAUGGGGGAAACCCUGAGGCAGCAACGCCGCGUGAGGGAUGAAGGCCUUCGGGUUGUAAACCUCUUUUCUCAGGGACGAUAAUGACGGUACCUGAGGAAUAAGCCACGGCUAACUACGUGCCAGCAGCCGCGGUAAUACGUAGGUGGCAAGCGUUGUCCGGAUUUACUGGGCGUAAAGAGCGCGCAGGCGGCCAGGUAAGUCGAAUGUGAAAGCCCCCGGCUCAACUGGGGAGGGUCAUUCGAUACUGCUUGGCUUGAAGAUAGGAGAGGGAAGUGGAAUUUCAGGUGUAGUGGUGAAAUGCGUAGAUAUCUGAAGGAACACCAGUGGCGAAGGCGACUUUCUGGCCUAUUCUUGACGCUGAGGCGCGAAAGCUAGGGGAGCGAACGGGAUUAGAUACCCCCGUAGUCC